rnacentral:rRNA from 1 species
UUUUAGCAGGGAAGAAGCGAAAGUGACGGUACCUGCAGAAAAAGCGCCGGCUAACUACGUGCCAGCAGCCGCGGUAAUACGUAGGGCGCAAGCGUUAUCCGGAAUUAUUGGGCGUAAAGAGCUCGUAGGCGGUUUGUCGCGUCUGCUGUGAAAUCCGGAGGCUCAACCUCCGGCCUGCAGUGGGUACGGGCAGACUAGAGUGCGGUAGGGGAGAUUGGAAUUCCUGGUGUAGCGGUGGAAUGCGCAGAUAUCAGGAGGAACACCGAUGGCGAAGGCAGAUCUCUGGGCCGUAACUGACGCUGAGGAGCGAAAGGGUGGGGAGCAAACAGGCUUAGAUACCCUGGUAGUCCACCCCGUAAACGUUGGGAACUAGUUGUGGGGUCCAUUCCACGGAUUCCGUGACGCAGCUAACGCAUUAAGUUCCCCGCCUGGGGAGUACGGCCGCAAGGCUAAAACUCAAAGGAAUUGACGGGGACCCGCACAAGCGGCGGAGCAUGCGGAUUAAUUCGAUGCAACGCGAAGAACCUUACCAAGGCUUGAC